rnacentral:rRNA from 1 species
AUUGAAUGGCCGCAGUACAUUAACUGUGCGAAGGUAGCAUAAUAAUUAGUCUUUUAAUUGAAGGCUUGAAUGAAUGAUUGGAUGAGAAAUAAUCUUUAUUAUUAUAAAUUCUUGAAUUUGAUAUUUUAGUCAAAAAGCUUAAAUAUAUAAGUGGGACGAGAAGACCCUAUAGAAUUUAAAAUUUAUUUAAUUUUAAUAAAUUAAGAAUAAAAAUAAAUCAAAUCUAAAUAUAUUUUUAAUUGGGGUGAUUUUGAAAUGAAUAUAACUUUUAAUUAAAUUUACAUAAAUAUAUGUUUUAUUGAUCCAUUUUAUUGAUUAAAAGAAUAAAUUACCUUAGGGAUAACAGCGUAAUUAAUUUGGAGAGUUCAUAUUGAUAAAUCUAGUUUGCGACCUCGAUGUUGGAUUAAGAAAAAUAUUUGGAGCAAAAUCUAAAUAAAUUAGGUCUGUUCGACCUUUAAAUUCUUACA